rfam:Microgenomates (Woesebacteria) bacterium GW2011_GWA1_37_7 TS53_C0044, whole genome shotgun sequence.
AAUAAGUCUUUUUAACGCAGACAGUGGAUGACUUGGUACGAAAUACCGAAGAAGGACGUACAUGGUAACGAUAUUCGUCGGGUAGGAGCCACGAUCCUUUAAUCCGGCGGUGUCCGAAUGGGGAAACCCACUCCGAUUCAUAUCGGAGUACGCUGUGGUAAAAGUAUCUUGCAUUUUUUGCAUGAAUCGGAAUUUUUAAUUUAAAAUUUUAAAUUUUUAAACAUUUGAAUUUGUUUAGAAAUUAGAAAUUAAGAUUUAGAAAUUCUGCGGCUCGUGCACGAAGUGCAGGAUACAUAGCCGCAGUCGAGGAAACCAUCUGAACUGAAACAUCUAAGUAAGGUGAGGAAAAGAAAUCAAUGAGAUUCCGUCAGUAGCGGAGAGCGAAAGCGGAAGAGCCCAAACCUUGUGCGUUGCACAAGGACUUAAAAACAAAAAGACUGAAAAACUUAAAGACUAAAAUAUUGAAUGUUUGAUCAUUCUUCUUACGUUUUUUCGUUUUUUAGUUCUUCAAUUUUUUAAGUUCUCGAGCAGCGUGCGAGGUGUUGUAGGACUCCAAUAUGGGAGUUAAUAAGGUAGUAGAACGGCAUGGAAUUGCCGACCAUAGAAGGUGAAAGUCCUGUAAACAAAACUGAAUUAACCUCUAGGAGAUUCCUGAGUACUACGGUGAACACACUCCGUAGGAAUCUGGGGGAACCAUCCUCCAAGGCUAAAUAUAUUUCGUAACCGAUAGUGAACUAGUACCGUGAGGGAAAGCUGAAAAGAAGAGCGAGACGCUCAGUGAAAUAGAACCUGAAACUGUUUGCGGACAAUCCGGUAGAGCUUGGCCUUUGGACAAGAAUUUUCAAAUAGUCAAUUUUUAAUUUUCAUUGAAUUUUCAAUGUUUUAAUUUUAAAAAUUAAUUCAUUAUUUAAUUGAUUGGAAAUUGGAAAUUUGUAGAUUGGAAAUUCUCGACCAGAGGGCGAGUGAUACUGUGCCUAUUGAAGAAUGAGCCGGCGAGUUCCCCCUCUUUCUUUGUUUAAACCAGUUUAACUGGCGGAAGCAAAGGGAAACCAAGUGCAAAUAGCGCGUUUCGUCGCAAGACGAUAUAGAAAGGGGGGGAGACCCGAAACCAGGUGAUCUAUCCAUGAGCAGGGUGAACCCCGUAGAAAUACGGGGGGAGGCCCGAACCGGUGUAAGUUGCAAUUUGCUCGGACGACUUGUGGAUAGCGGUAAUAUGCCAAACGAACCUGGAGAUAGCUGGUUCUCCCCGAAAGGUCUAUAGGGACCGUGGUAUGAAAUGGAAUGUCAGUGGUAGAGCUACUGAAUGGGAUGGCGAGGGUAACCGAGUCAUUCUAACCAAACUCCGAAUAAUGAUAUUCAAAAACAUACUAGACAGUCGCAUCGGGCUAAGCUGAUGCGUGCAAGAGGGAAACAUCCCAGACUUUCGGCUAAGGUCUCUAAAUUGCAGCUAAGUUUGAAAGGAAGUCAUUAUCCCCAAACAGCCAGGAGGUUGGCUUAGAAGCAGCCACCCUUUAAAGAUAGCGUAACAGCUCACUGGUCGAGGAUAAGGGCGCCGAAAAUUUACCGAGGAUAAGUUGCAUACCGAAGCUAGAGAUCUCGUCCGCAGGACGAGUAAAUUCGAAGCACAAAUAUCGAAAUUCGAAACAAUAUUUAAAUUCUAAUUUUACAAAUUCGAAACAAUUCAAUAUGUUAUUUGUUUGUAAUUUGAAAUUUUGAGUAUUUAUGUUUGUUUAGGAUUUCGGAUUUAGGAUUUCGGAUUUCCUCGACUUGCGGUCGAGGUGGUAGGGGAGCGUUCCAUUAGCGGUGAAGUUAUUCCGUAAGGAAUGGUGGAGCGAAUGGAAGUGAGAAUGCCGGCAUGAGUAGCGUACAAUCCCGAUGAGAAUUCGGGACGUCGAAAACCCGAGGUUUCCCCGGUGAAGUUCGUCUUCCGGGGGUUAGUCGGUACCUAAGGUGAGGCCAAAUGGCGUAGCCGAUGGAUGACAGGUUAAAAUUCCUGUAUUUGUUUUAAAUCGCAAGACCUUGUCCUUUGGACAAGGAAUUUCUAAUUUCUAAUCGCGGAGCGACAAGCUUCGCUUAUUUCUAAUUUCUAAACAAUCAUAAAAUUCCAAUGACCAAAAUUAAAAACAGCCCCAUUAGUUAUUUUUGGGUUUAGUAUUUAAUUAAUUUGGAAUUUAUUUAGAAUUUUGGAUUUAGGAUUUCGGAUUUCCUCGUCCAGGGGGCGAGGUAGCUGGGGACUAACAAUGUUGGAUAACUGGGGCCCUUUAUUGAAUUAGGGUGCAAGUUGUUAAAUAGGAUCAGAUGGAAAAUCCGCUGAACCGAUUAAUUGAGCAGCGAUGCAGAACUGGCAGAAAUGCUGGUAAUUUCUAACUAUUCAGCAUUCAAGAAAAGGUUCGCAGCGAGAUUUAAGGCAAGCCGUACCGCAAACCGACACAGGUGGGUUGGUCGAGAAGACUAAGACGAGCGAGAGAAAGAGGUUUAAGGAACUCGGCAAAUUAGCUGGACGUAAGUUCGCAAGAUGUCCUACCUCGUGCUUUGCACGAGGAAAUUCCGAUUUUCAAUUUCCAAUUUCCAAAUAAAUUUUAAUUUACUAAUUUCAAAAUUCAAAACAACUGAAUUAAGGGUUUUGAUAUUCGAAUUUGUAAUUUUGUAUUUGUUUGUGAUUUGGUGCUUGGGAUUUGGGAUUUUCUCGUGCAGAGCGCGGGGUUACAACUAACGAGUGCUAACCGACUGUUUAUCAAAAACACAGGUCCGUGCAAAGGUGAAAGCCUAAGUAUACGGGCUGACGCCUGCCCAGUGCCGGUAAGUGAAGAGGACUUAUCCCCGCUAUGCGGGGGUGGGGAAUCCAAGCUCCGGUAAACGGCAGCAGUAACUAUAACUGUUCUACGGUAGCGAAGUUCCUUGUCGUGUAAGUUACGACCCGCACGAAUGGCGUAACGAGUUAGCAACUGUCUUAAACCUUUACUCGGCGAAAUUGCGUUGGCUGUGAAGACGCGGCCUACUUCCACCAGGACAAAAAGACCCCGUGGAGCUUUACUGCAGCUUGGCAUUGCACUCAUAUUUUUGGAUUGUGCAGAAUAGGUGGGAGCUCGUGCGGAGCACGAGAAUUUUCAAUUUUCAAUUUUCAUUCAAUUUAUAUUUGUUUGGAAUUUGGAAUUUUGUAAUUGGAAUUUCUUGUGCUCUUCGCGAGCACAAGUGUAAUACCACCCUUUUGAAAGUGUGAGGCUUACCCAUCAACUUUGCAAACAAGUUGGGAUAAAGUGCUAGGUAGGCAGUUUUACUGGGGCGGUACCUUGCCAAAGAGUAACGCAAGGACACAAAGGUUGGCUUAGUACGGAUGGACAUCGUACUGAAUGUGCAAAGGCAUAAGCCAGCUUGAUAGUGAGAGCGACGGCUCGAACUAGUGCGAAAGCAGGUUUUAGUGAUCCUCCGAUUGCCUCAUGGUAGGCACGGAGCUUAACGGAUAAAAGCUACCCCGGGGAUAACAGAG